rnacentral:rRNA from 1 species
AAUGGGCGCAAGCCUGACCCAGCGACGCCGCGUGGGUGAUGAAGGCCUUCGGGUUGUAAAACCCUUUCGUGCGGAAAGAACAGCCCUGUAGUUAAUAUCUGCAGGGUUUGACGGUACCGCAGGAAGAAGCACCGGCUAACUCCGUGCCAGCAGCCGCGGUAAUACGGAGGGUGCAAGCGUUGUUCGGAAUUAUUGGGCGUAAAGGGCGCGUAGGUGGUUGUGAUAGUCAGAUGUGAAAUCCUUUGGCUUAACUGAAGAACUGCAUCUGAAACUUCAUAACUCGAGUACAGGAGAGGGAAACGGAAUUCCCGGUGUAGAGGUGAAAUUCGUAGAUAUCGGGAGGAACACCAGUGGCGAAGGCGGUUUCCUGGCCUGAUACUGACACUGAGGCGCGAAAGCGUGGGGAGCAAA